UACGGGGGGGGCAAGCGUUGUUCGGAAUUACUGGGCGUAAAGGGCGCGUAGGUGGCGCCCCAAGUCGAUGGUGAAAGCUCGCCGCUCAACGGCGAGUCGGCCACCGAUACUGGGGGGCUUGAGCACUGUAGAGGCAGAUGGAAUUCCGGGUGUAGCGGUGGAAUGCGUAGAGAUCCGGAAGAACACCGGUGGCGAAGGCGGUCUGCUGGGCAGUUGCUGACACUGAGGCGCGACAGCGUGGGGAGCAAACAGG
rnacentral:rRNA from 1 species